rnacentral:rRNA from 1 species
AUUGAACGCUGGCGGCAGGCUUAACACAUGCAAGUCUAGCGGGGGAUGCUGCUUCGGUAACUGACCUAGCGGCGGACGGGUGAGUAAUAUUUAGGAAUCUGCCUAUUAAUGGGGGACAACAUUUCGAAAGGGAUGCUAAUACUGCAUACGCCCUACGGGGGAAAGCAGGGGAUCACUUGUGACGUGGCGGUAAUAGAUGAGCCUAAGUCGGAUUAGCUAGUUGGUGGGGUAAAGGCCUACCAAGGCGACGAUCUGUAGCGGGUCUGAGAGGAUGAUCCGCCACACUGGGACUGAGACACGGCCCAGACUCCUACGGGAGGCAGCAGUGGGGAAUAUUGGACAAUGGGGGGAACCCUGAUCCAGCCAUGCCGAGUGUGUGAAGAAGGCCUUAUGGUUGUAAAGCACUUUAAGCGAGGAGGAGGCUCUUCUAGUUAAUACCUAGGAUGAGUGGACGUUACUCGCAGAAUAAGCACCGGCUAACUCUGUGCCAGCCGCCGCCGUAACAC